CAGCCGCCACGGGAAUACGGAGGGAGCUAGCGUUGUUCGGAAUUACUGGGCGUAAAGGGCGCGUAGGCGGCCAUUCAAGUUAGAUGUGAAAGCCCUGGGCUCAACCUAGGAAUUGCAUUUGAUACUGUUUGGCUUGAGUUCGGGAGAGGUGAGUGGAAUUCCCAGUGUAGAGGUGAAAUUCGUAGAUAUUGGGAAGAACACCAGUGGCGAAGGCGGCUCACUGGACCGACACUGACGCUGAGGCGCGAAAGCGUGGGGAGCAAACAGGAUUAGAUACCCCGGUAGUCCCUGUCUCUUAUAC
rnacentral:rRNA from 1 species